rnacentral:rRNA from 1 species
UAAACGAUGAGUGCUAAGUGUUAGGGGGUUCCGCCCUUUAGUGCUGCAGCUAACGCAUUAAGCACUCCGCCUGGGGAGUACGACCGCAAGGUUGAAACUCAAAGGAAUUGACGGGGGCCCGCACAGCGGUGGAGCAUGUGGUUUAAUUCGAAGCAACGCGAAGAACCUUACCAGGUCUUGACAUCCUUUGACCACUCUAGAGAUAGAGCUUUCCCUUCGGGGACAAAGUGACAGGUGGUGCAUGGUUGUCGUCAGCUCGUGUCGUGAGAUGUUGGGUUAAGUCCCGCAACGAGCGCAACCCUUAUUGUUAGUUGCCAUCAUUAAGUUGGGCACUCUAGCGAGACUGCCGGUGACAAACCGGAGGAAGGUGGGGAUGACGUCAAAUCAUCAUGCCCCUUAUGACCUGGGCUACACACGUGCUACAAUGGACAGUACAAUGAGCAGCGACACGGCGACGUGAAGCGAAUCUCAUAAAGCUGUUCUCAGUUCGGAUUGUAGGCUGCAACUCGCCUACAUGAAGCCGGAAUCGCUAGUAAUCGCGGAUCAGCACGCCGCGGUGAAUACGUUCCCGGGCCUUGUACACACCGCCCGUCACACCACGAAAGUUUGUAACACCCGAAGUCGGUGAGGUAACCGCAAGGAGCCAACCGCCUAAGGUGGGAUAGAUGAUUGGGGUGAAGUCGUAACAAGGUAACCAAGGGCGAAUUCCAG